GAUGAACGCUGGCGGCGUGCCUAAUACAUGCAAGUCGAGCGAACAGACAAGGAGCUUGCUCCUUUGACGUUAGCGGCGGACGGGUGAGUAACACGUGGGUAACCUACCUAUAAGACUGGGAUAACUUCGGGAAACCGGAGCUAAUACCGGAUAAUAUUUCGAACCGCAUGGUUCGAUAGUGAAAGAUGGUUUUGCUAUCACUUAUAGAUGGACCCGCGCCGUAUUAGCUAGUUGGUAAGGUAACGGCUUACCAAGGCGACGAUACGUAGCCGACCUGAGAGGGUGAUCGGCCACACUGGAACUGAGACACGGUCCAGACUCCUACGGGAGGCAGCAGUAGGGAAUCUUCCGCAAUGGGCGAAAGCCUGACGGAGCAACGCCGCGUGAGUGAUGAAGGUCUUCGGAUCGUAAAACUCUGUUAUUAGGGAAGAACAUACGUGUAAGUAACUAUGCACGUCUUGACGGUACCUAAUCAGAAAGCCACGGCUAACUACGUGCCAGCAGCCGCGGUAAUACGUAGGUGGCAAGCGUUAUCCGGAAUUAUUGGGCGUAAAGCGCGCGUAGGCGGUUUUUUAAGUCUGAUGUGAAAGCCCACGGGCUCACCGUGGAGGGUCAUUGGAAACUGGAAAACUUGAGUGCAGAAGAGGAAAGUGGAAUUCCAUGUGUAGCGGUGAAAUGCGCAGAGAUAUGGAGGAACACCAGUGGCGAAGGCGACUUUCUGGUCUGUAACUGACGCCGAUGUGCGAAAGCGUGGGGAUCAAACAGGAUUAGAUACCCUGGUAGUCCACGCCGUAAACGAUGAGUGCUAAGUGUUAGGGGGUUUCCGCCCCUUAGUGCUGCAGCUAACGCAUUAAGCACUCCGCCUGGGGAGUACGACCGCAAGGUUGAAACUCAAAGGAAUUGGCGGGGACCCGCACAAGCGGUGGAGCAUGUGGUUUAAUUCGAAGCAACGCGAAGAACCUUACCAAAUCUUGACAUCCUUUGACAACUCUAGAGAUAGAGCCUUCCCCUUCGGGGGACAAAGUGACAGGUGGUGCAUGGUUGUCGUCAGCUCGUGUCGUGAGAUGUUGGGUUAAGUCCCGCAACGAGCGCAACCCUUAAGCUUAGUUGCCAUCAUUAAGUUGGGCACUCUAAGUUGACUGCCGGUGACAAACCGGAGGAAGGUGGGGAUGACGUCAAAUCAUCAUGCCCCUUAUGAUUUGGGCUACACACGUGCUACAAUGGACAAUACAAAGGGCAGCGAAACCGCGAGGUCAAGCAAAUCCCAUAAAGUUGUUCUCAGUUCGGAUUGUAGUCUGCAACUCGACUACAUGAAGCUGGAAUCGCUAGUAAUCGUAGAUCAGCAUGCUACGGUGAAUACGUUCCCGGGUCU
rnacentral:rRNA from 1 species